GCUCCGAUGGGUCAAUGGUAGACCGGCCUGAUGCUUUCUUCAGGUCGUAUAAAAUUUGGCAGGCAGAUGUUGGUUCGACUCCCGCUUGGAGCG